AUGAACGCGUGCGGCGUGCCUAACACAUGCAAGUCGAACGAAGCAUCCACCCGCCAGACAGAACCAGCUUGCUGGGGAAGGAAGCAUAUGGGAUGACUGAGUGGCGGACGGGUGAGUAACGCGUGGGUAACCUGCCCCAUAGAGGGGGACAACAGCUGGAAACGGCUGCUAAUACCGCAUGGGAAAGCGGGACCGCAUGGUCCUGUUUUGAAAGAUUUAUCGCUAUGGGAUGGACCCGCGUCUGAUUAGCUGGUUGGUAAGGUAACGGCUUACCAAGGCGACGAUCAGUAGCCGGCUUGAGAGAGUGAACGGCCACAUUGGGACUGAGACACGGCCCAGACUCCUACGGGAGGCAGCAGUGGGGAAUAUUGCACAAUGGGGGGAACCCUGAUGCAGCGACGCCGCGUGAGUGAGGAAGUAUUUCGGUAUGUAAAGCUCUAUCAGCAGGGAAGAUAGUGACGGUACCUGACUAAGAAGCCCCGGCUAACUACGUG
rnacentral:rRNA from 1 species